GACGAACGCUGGCGGCGUGCUUAACACAUGCAAGUCGAACGGAAAGGCCCUGCUUUUGUGGGGUGCUCGAGUGGCGAACGGGUGAGUAACACGUGAGUAACCUGCCCUUGACUUUGGGAUAACUUCAGGAAACUGGGGCUAAUACCGGAUAUGAGCUCCUGCUGCAUGGUGGGGGUUGGAAAGUUUCGGCGGUUGGGGAUGGACUCGCGGCUUAUCAGCUUGUUGGUGGGGUAGUGGCUUACCAAGGCUUUGACGGGUAGCCGGCCUGAGAGGGUGACCGGCCACAUUGGGACUGAGAUACGGCGCAGACUCCUACGGGAGGCAGCAGUGGGGAAUGUUGCACAAUGGGCGGAAGCCUGAUGCAGCAACGCCGCGUGCGGGAUGACGGCCUUCGGGUUGUAGACCGCUUUCGCCUGUGACGAAGCGUGAGUGACGGUAAUGGGUAAAGAAGCACCGGCUAACUACGUG
rnacentral:rRNA from 1 species